AUUGAACGCUGGCGGCAUGCCUUACACAUGCAAGUCGAACGGCAGCACGGGUGCUUGCACCUGGUGGCGAGUGGCGAACGGGUGAGUAAUACAUCGGGACAUGUCCUGUAGAGGGGGAUAGCACGGCGAAAGCCGGAGUAAUACCGCAUACGAUCUACGGAUGAAAGCGGGGGACCUACGGGCCUCGGGCUCUAGUGUCGGCCGAUGGCUGAUUAGCUAGUUGGUGGGGUAAAGGCCUACCAAGGCGACGAUCAGUAGCUGGUCUGAGAGGACGACCAGCCACACUGGAACUGAGACACGGCCCAGACUCCUACGGGAGGCAGCAGUGGGGAAUUUUGCACAAUGGGCGAAAGCCUGAUCCAGCAAUGCCGCGUGUGUGAAGAAGGCCUUCGGGUUGUAAAGCACUUUUGUCCGGAAAGAAAACCUGUGCCCUAAUACGGUCGGGGGAUGACGGUACCGGAAGAAUAAGCACCGGCUAACUACGUG
rnacentral:rRNA from 1 species